rnacentral:tRNA from 1 species
GGGCGAUUAGCUCAGUGGUAGAGCGUCUCGUUUACACCGAGAAUGUCGGCGGUUCGAGCCCGUCAUCGCCCA